GCGGCGGCCGUUAGGAAAAUGGCGCCGUGCGGCCCGGGGCAGACCCCCGUCACUGGUCACCGCCGCCUUCCUGGCGCAGCUGCUGUGUCACGGCCACACCGGCCGGCUGUACAGCAGGCAGGAGCCGGUGACCAUUCUGGAGGCGGAUGGGGUUAAGGGCCUGUUUGGGAACUGGUCGGCCGCCUGGGUGGUGGAGUUCUACUGGUCGUGGGGCGGCCCCUGUGUCAACUAUGGGGCCACCUGGAAGGUACUGGGCCCGGGAGGUGAAAGAAAAGGGGCAAAACCUACUUUUGAUGGACAAAUAAGGCUCACCGGAGGACCGGAAGGAGAUUUGUCCUCCUGCCAUUCGGAGCUCCCCUAUUGGUGAACGCGGAAGUUGGGCCAUGAGGUUCUGAAGUUCCUGCCCCUCCCCUCUCUCAAUGAAGAUUGAGCUUCACUCAGACUGCAGCUUCCUUCCUCUGUCCAACAUCUGGCCACCAGAAGCCUUCUCAGUACUCUACAAGUGACUUCACCAACAUCCUGUACACCUUCAACAUGAUGUCCCCACUCCUUUGUUCAAUGGUGUGAACAAUUAAGCUACCCGAUGAAGGAGCAGCGCACUGAAAGCUAGUGCUUCCAAAUAAAUCUGUUGGACGAUAACCCACUGUUGUGAUUUUUCAACCUUGUCCCACCUAGUCCAACAGCAGCACCUCCA